rnacentral:rRNA from 1 species
UGGGGAAUAUUGGACAAUGGGCGAAAGCCUGAUCCAGCAAUGCCGCGUGAGUGAUGAAGGCCUUCGGGUUGUAAAGCUCUGUCGGGAGGGACGAAAAAGCCGGUUAACACCCGGUAUUGACGGUACCUCCAAAGGAAGCACCGGCUAACUCUGUGCCAGCAGCCGCGGUAAUACAGAGGGUGCAAGCGUUGUUCGGAAUUACUGGGCGUAAAGCGCGUGUAGGUGGCAGCGUAAGUCGGGUGUGAAAUCCCUUGGCUCAACCAAGGAAGUGCACUCGAUACUGCGUUGCUUGAGUACUGGAGGGGAUGGCGGAAUUCCCGGUGUAGAGGUGAAAUUCGUAGAUAUCGGGAGGAACACCUGUGGCGAAGGCGGCCAUCUGGACAGUCACUGACACUGAGACGCGAAAGCGUGGGUAGCAAACAGG